rnacentral:rRNA from 1 species
AUUGAACGCUGGCGGCAGGCCUAACACAUGCAAGUCGAGCGGAGCGGCGGACGGGUGAGUAAUGCCUACGAAUCUGCCUGGUAGUGGGGGAUAACGUUCGGAAAUGGGAGCUAAUACCGCAUACUUUCAGUUUAGCCUUGGUCGGAUUAGCUAGUUGGUGGGGUAAAGGCCUACCAUGGCGACGAUCCGUAACUGGUCCGAGAGGAUGAUCAGUCACACUGGAACUGAGACACGGUCCAGACUCUUACGGGAGGCAGCAGUGGGGAAUAUUGGACAAUGGGCGAAAGCCGGAUCCAGCCAUGCCGCGUGAGUGAAGAAGGUCUUCGGAUUGUAAAGCACUGUAAGUUGGGAGGCGGUACCAACAGAGAAAGCAACGGCUAACUACGUGCCAGCAGCCGCGGUAAUUC